GACGAACGCUGGCGGCGUGCUUAACACAUGCAAGUCGAACGGAAAGGCCCUGCUUUUGUGGGGUGCUCGAGUGGCGAACGGGUGAGUAACACGUGAGUAACCUGCCCUUGACUUUGGGAUAACUUCAGGAAACUGGGGCUAAUACCGGAUAGGAGCUCCUGCUGCAUGGUGGGGGUUGGAAAGUUUCGGCGGUUGGGGAUGGACUCGCGGCUUAUCAGCUUGUUGGUGGGGUAGUGGCUUACCAAGGCUUUGACGGGUAGCCGGCCUGAGAGGGUGACCGGCCCCAUUGGGACUGAGCUACGGCCCAGCCUCCUACGGGAGGCAGCAGUGGGGAAUAUUGCACAAUGGGCGGAAGCCUGAUGCAGCAACGCCGCGUGCGGGAUGACGGCCUUCGGGUUGUAAACCGCUUUCGCCUGUGACGAAGCGUGAGUGACGGUAAUGGGUAAAGAAGCACCGGCUAACUACGUG
rnacentral:rRNA from 1 species